GCCCUAAACAAGUGUAAUUUGACAAAUUUACAUGUAAACAUUAAGGAGUGAGGAAGUUAAAACGAUACCAAUCGAGUUUUAGAGCUUUGGUGACCAUUUUAAAAGUAUAUAUGAUAAAUUCAAAGGUAAGUCUAUCGUAUUGCAUUGUCUUAAAUGAAUUCUCAGCUAAAAUACGGCAAUAAAUGGAUCAUAAACUUAGCUAAAUUUACUGUUGACAACGAGGUUGACAGAUCCAUUGCUUUUUUGCCUUGAAUAGCUUUACCAUAGUCAUUUUACCUUAAAAUGUAGCUACCGAGGAUAUCUCUAAGAGAUUUUACACAGAUUAUUUGCAAAAUCUCACGAUUUAAUCAUGCUGAUAACAUGAAAAUCCUUGUGCCAUUCUAUACUUGGCAUAAUCUCUACAUCAAUAGUUCACCAGUUCACUAAUAUAAAUUCAAUAUAUUUUUGAACCAGUCCAUAUAUUAUUAUACACAAUGUAGUAUAGUUAAUUUGACCAUAUUUGAGAAGUAAGGGUGUAUUUCAUUACACAGACACUGCUGAAUUUUAGGUUACAUGCCAUUGGAUUGAUAUAUAAAAAACACUUGUAAAACACACACAUUAUCUUGUUGAUAGAAUAGUUAUUUGCAGUAUACUAACUGUUGGCAUACUCUAUUUCAGGGCUAUCAAUUGUUUUUGUCACUGGCAGUCUUUGAAAUACAAUCUUGCUCUGUGGCCUUUACUGACAAGUUGGCUUUUACUACAUAUGUGGCACUGACACUUCUUUAAUUAAUGCACCAGUCAAUGUAAACCCCCCAACCAGGGAGGGGCAGGGAUUUUGACUUGGAGGGGUAGUAAAAAAGCAAAAUUGUCCCCGCCCCCAGGGACGUCAAUGUCCCCUGCAUGUCUCUUAACCCCAGGAAAAUAGUUUUGUAUAAUCAUAGAAUAGAAUAGAUCAGCAAUAGAAAAUCAAAUUCAUUUAUGUUGUUGUAUUUAAACUUUUCUUGUCAAGAAAACUAAAACAGCAACACAGGAUAUAUAUGUUAACCACUGUCCAAGUCUCCCAUCAUCGGGGACAAAUUUAUAAUCAAAACUGACCACUUUCCCUGUUAAACCUUCCGCCCCUCCCCGGUUGGGGGCAGGGAUUUACAUUGACUGGUGCAUAACUAGAUGAUUGCAUGAAGCAUUGCAUGGAAGUUGAUUUAUAAUUAGUUUAUGAAUAAACUCACACUUUCAUUAUAAUGGUUGAUCAAAUAUAUCAUAUGCAUUUGAUUGGUUGAUGGUCCCUUAAUGGUAAUGGUGGUCAAAUCUGAACCUAUAUAAUGUCAAUAUGAUUUGAACCUAUAUAAUGUCAAUAUACUGGAAAAGUAUCAAAUUAAAUUUUAAUUGUCAAUGUUGU
rnacentral:lncRNA from 1 species